CCGCGCGCCUCCCUCCGGCGCGGCCGGGCUUCGGGCGCUGAGGGGCGGAAACGACGCUAAAAACCAUAGUUUUCUUGUGUCGGGUGAAUAAUAUUUUGCCACUGUUUAGCCGAGGCAAAAUGCGGACCGUGCCAGCAGCUCUGUUUUAAAUGGACUGUGUCUACAAGCAAGCUGUUCACCUGUGCUCUGGGAACAGGGUUUCCUGAAUUCAGCAGUCACAAAUUCCAGAGGCUUGAGCUGAGUCUGGAUCUGUGCCCUGACUUGUGGGACAGAGACAAAAUUAUGCCUUGAAUUUUCCCUGAGCCAUGGAGAGGAGUGAAGUCAACAGGUGGUAAUUUGCAGGGGCUGCAAGAAGCCUGCUCUCUGCUGCCCCAGCGAUGGGUUUAUCAACAAUAAUUAGAUCCCCAUCAGGCUUGUGAAGAAGCUGUACUCGUCUGCUGAACUGAAGGCUUCUUUCAGGUGCCCUGGGGCGAUGCCAGUGAACUGGGCACCUAACCUGGGGUGUGUGCACCAGUGCAGUCACCCCUCCUGCUUUGGGCUCUGCAGCAGGAGCAGGAGCUGCCGCUGAAGUGCCUCUUCCUGCAGCUUUUUUGAUGGUGCAGUAGGAUCAGAACAAGUCCCCAGCUGCCUUCACCACGAGCAGCCUUUAGCCUUCUUUGUAACAGCAGGUAACAAACCAUCCUGCCCCCUAGAUUGCUCCUGUGUGCCACCUGGCUCACUCUUAAGCCUUUGCCACAAGAAACCAGGCUACACCUGCAGGUGGAGUGGGGCCAGGCCACCCACAGCUGCCCUCAACCAAAACCUGUGCUGUGCUGGGGCUGCUGCCCCAGAAGUACACAGUGCAAGGUCUUCUCUCUCAGGGGCAAGGGAGCAGGUGAAUGGGAAGUAUUUAAUUUCACGUGUCUGUACCGCUGUUGGAGCACGCUUGUUGCAUGCCAGCAGUGGAAGUCUUAACCAAAACCAAAAGAAAUUUAAUCAUAUGCCUAGUCACGUACUGAGAAACUUAAUCUGCUAUUAAUAUUACUUCAGUCCUCAACAGUGAAGAUCAAGCCUUUGUGUUAUAACUGAAAUUUUAUUUAUUUAUAAUCAUUAGUUUUCUUAGAUUUAAUGUAAGAAUCAUUGCCUCAAAAAAGAAGCUGUUUUCUGGGUUUCUGACUUCUAAUUUUAAGCAGCACUUCAAUAUCUGACAAGGGGAGCGCUUGAUGUUAAUUAUUUUUUGAUGUGAGCAUAAUCAUGUACAAAAUUUGCUUUCAUGCACAGUCUUCUAUGUGAGUUUAUGUUUUUGAAAUGUGAACCUGAGCAGGGAACAAAAUAAACCUUUACAAUCUUCAGAGCUGUUAUAAUCUGAUUGUCAUAGAACAAAAUACCUUGUCAUCUCCCACUACGUGGCUCUUCCAUAUAACUGUUGCUUUGCAUCAUUUACUCUGUUAUACUUCAUUGAUUAUAUUACUUCAAAAUUGUUAUUUAUCCAGCCUAACAGUUGUUCCAGCAAGAAAAGCUAAAUAUUAUGGGCUAAACUCUAUUUUAGAUUCUUGCAAACAAAGCCCUCAUGGUUGAGGGCAUGAACUCAAACAUUUGUGACAUUGGUGACCCCUGGAACAAAAUAGAAUUGGAUUCUGGAUCAAGCAAGAGGAAUAAAGUUGGACUAGAGGAAGAGCUUUUAUCCUUACUAAGCUGCCACUUAAAGCAUUGAGAUUUGGAGGAAAUUUGAUGAACUGAAUUUGCUCCCUCAGCUGGAAUAGUUUUGGCACAUGUAUCUGAAGAGCUAUUUAGCUAUGAGGGAGCUAACCAAUGGUCUGAGAUUAUACACAUCUGUCAGCUAAAUCGAAGAUCCAAAGGCUAAACCCAGCAUUCAGAGGCAACAUGUGGAUCCAUGAAUUUUAUGGAAGGCAGUGUCUAGACACUGAUAAGCAGUUUUCUGACACACAAAUGUUUUAAAACUGUAUGUAAUUGUUCUCAUUUUAGUAAUAGCUUUAAGAAAAUUACUGUUAGGAAGAUGGAAGAAAUGUUUUAUGCCAGUGACCUCAGAAUUGUAGUCCAGGGAUCUAGUUGUGUUUUCAAGUCAUUUAUGCCAUGGAAGUAAUGAGUAUCUCUUUUGUGAUAAAAAGGCACAGUAUAUAGGAAAAAGGCACUUUUCCUCACAGGAAAAGAAAGUCAUUGUUUUGCAAAAACUGUAGACAUGCUAUUCUUUUGUAAAUAGAAUGUAGGUCAUAAUGCUUAGUUUUACUGCAUUGCUACUCUUCGUGUAUUUUCUGACUUCAGGCGUAUUAACAGGACGAAUAAGACAGGAGAAGCAACAGCUCUCUACAUGUGUGUUUAUGUGCCAUUCAGGCAGCACGCGCAUCUUUUGUUUUUUUAAGCACAUGGUUUUAAUUUCAAAAUUAUGAAAUACUACAGAGACAUUAUAAGCCUACAAGUCAUUUACAGCUAUUGCAAUUCUGUUUAAUACAUUUCCAAACAAUUUUUUCUGGCACAGAUGGUAACAUCAUAGCUUCAGAUCUCCUUCCCAUCCAUCGCUGGCUGUUUCUGGGUGUGGGAAGAGGUGAUGAUUAGCUAAGACAAAACUAGCUGUUCACAACAUCUUGUUGAAACUUUGUUGUUAUUGAUGAUAAAAAUGGCUUUGGAAUAAACUAAAGAUUUUAAUGAGAAAAUGCC